rnacentral:rRNA from 1 species
CUGCCUUGGGGUCGGGGACAACCACUGGAAACGGUGGCUAAUACCGGAUAAGCCUUUGGGUAAAAGAUUUAUUGCCCCAAGAGGAGCUCGCGUCUGAUUAGCUAGUUGGUGAGGUAAAAGCUCACCAAGGCAGCGAUCAGUAGCUGGUCUGAGAGGACGAUCAGCCACACUGGGACUGAGACACGGCCCAGACUCCUACGGGAGGCAGCAGUGGGGAAUUUUCCGCAAUGGGCGAAAGCCUGACGGAGCAAGACCGCGUGAGGGAGGAAGGCUCUUGGGUUGUCAACCUCUUUUCUCAGGGAAGAAGCUCUGACGGUACCUGAGGAAUCAGCCUCGGCUAACUCCGUGCCAGCAGCCGCGGUACUACGGAGGAGGCAAGCGUUCUCCGGAGUUCUUGGGCGUCAAGCGUCCGCAGGUGGCGAUUCAAGUCUGCUGUCCCAGCACGGGGCUUAACUCCGUUAAGGCAGUGGACACUGAAUAGCUAGAGUGCCGUACGGGUAGAGGGAAUUCCCGGUGUAGC